rnacentral:rRNA from 1 species
UGAAGCCGGAAUUGCUAGUAAUGGCAGGUCAGCAUACUGCCGUGAAUACGUUCCCGGGCCUUGUACACACCGCCCGUCACACCAUGAGAGUUGGGGAUACCCGAAGCCUGUGAGCUAACUAUUUAUAGGAGCAGCAGUCGAAGGUAGAAUCAAUGAUUGGGGUGAAGUCGUAACAAGGUAAC